rnacentral:lncRNA from 1 species
UUGUGUUUGGACAGAUUCAUUGUGGGAGGAAGUCAGCAUAACUAGAAACUACAGCAUUCAUAGAAACUACACCUCAAGGUCACUGAUGGUCUGACUCUUUAACACAGGAGCUGCACAUAAGAAAGGCUUUACAGGACAUAAUCUUUCUAGGCCCAUCAAAAUCCUGCUGGAAACAAUUGAGAAAGGUUUCCGUUUGUAUUGGACAACUACUGGGCACUUAAAAGGAUGUACUUCUAAUACAUAACAGUUCAUACAGGUGGGUCUGAGUCCUGCCAAUCUGAGGCUCUGCAGUCCUGAUUUAAAGACCUGAGCCCUGAAGAGUCCUUAACCUUAAGCUUUACUGGAGGGUAUACCACAGAAUUUGUGUGACGCUGUAAAAUUGUGUCAUUUAUGUUUGCUACUUCCCUAUACAUAGAGUGACACAAUAUGUGUUUU